rnacentral:rRNA from 1 species
AGGCAGCAGUGGGGAAUAUUGCACAAUGGGCGCAAGCCUGAUGCAGCCAUGCCGCGUGUAUGAAGAAGGCCUUCGGGUUGUAAAGUACUUUCAGCGGGGAGGAAGGCGAUGGGGUUAAUAACCCUGUCGAUUGACGUUACCCGCAGAAGAAGCACCGGCUAACUCCGUGCCAGCAGCCGCGGUAAUACGGAGGGUGCAAGCGUUAAUCGGAAUUACUGGGCGUAAAGCGCACGCAGGCGG